CUGGCUCAGAUUGAACGCUAGCGGGAUGCUUUUACACAUGCAAGUCGAACGGCAGCACGAGAGAGCUUGCUCUCUUGGUGGCGAGUGGCGGACGGGUGAGUAAUAUAUCGGAACGUGCCCAGUAGCGGGGGAUAACUACUCGAAAGAGUGGCUAAUACCGCAUACGCCCUACGGGGGAAAGGGGGGGAUCGCAAGACCUCUCACUAUUGGAGCGGCCGAUAUCGGAUUAGCUAGUUGGUGGGGUAAAGGCUCACCAAGGCAACGAUCCGUAGCUGGUUUGAGAGGACGACCAGCCACACUGGGACUGAGACACGGCCCAGACUCCUACGGGAGGCAGCAGUGGGGAAUUUUGGACAAUGGGGGAAACCCUGAUCCAGCCAUCCCGCGUGUAUGAUGAAGGCCUUCGGGUUGUAAAGUACUUUUGGCAGAGAAGAAAAGGCAUCCCCUAAUACGGGAUGCUGCUGACGGUAUCUGCAGAAUAAGCACCGGCUAACUACGUGCCAGCAGCCGCGGUAAUACGUAGGGUGCAAGCGUUAAUCGGAAUUACUGGGCGUAAAGCGUGUGUAGGCGGUUCGGAAAGAAAGAUGUGAAAUCCCAGGGCUCAACCUUGGAACUGCAUUUUUAACUGCCGAGCUAGAGUAUGUCAGAGGGGGGUAGAAUUCCACGUGUAGCAGUGAAAUGCGUAGAUAUGUGGAGGAAUACCGAUGGCGAAGGCAGCCCCCUGGGAUAAUACUGACGCUCAGACACGAAAGCGUGGGGAGCAAAAAGGAUUAGAUCCCCUGGUAGUCCACNCCCUNANCCCCUCUAAAGGAGCUGUUGGGGCCGUUAGGCCAUAGUAGCGCAGCUAACGCGUGAAAGUUGACCGCAUGGGGAGUACGGUCGCAAGAAUAAAACUCAAAGGAAUUGACGGGGACCCGCACAAGCGGUGGAUGAUGUGGAUUAAUUCGAUGCAACGCGAAAAACCUUACCUACCCUUGACAUGUCUGGAAUGCCGAAGAGAUUUGGCAGUGCUCGCAAGAGAACCGGAACACAGGUGCUGCAUGGCUGUCGUCAGCUCGUGUCGUGAGAUGUUGGGUUAAGUCCCGCAACGAGCGCAACCCUUGUCAUUAGUUGCUACGCAAGAGCACUCUAAUGAGACUGCCGGUGACAAACCGGAGGAAGGUGGGGAUGGCGUCAAGUCCUCAUGGCCCUUAUGGGUAGGGCUUCACACGUCAUACAAUGGUCGGGACAGAGGGUCGCCAACCCGCGAGGGGGAGCCAAUCUCAGAAACCCGAUCGUAGUCCGGAUCGCAGUCUGCAACUCGACUGCGUGAAGUCGGAAUCGCUAGUAAUCGCGGAUCAGAAUGUCGCGGUGAAUACGUUCCCGGGUCUUGCACACACCGCCCGUCA
rnacentral:rRNA from 1 species